GAGGCCUGAGGGGGUGGGGGGGAAGGAAGGGAGGCGGGGGAGAAAAUGUAUCACAGGAUGGCCUGGGUUGAAAAGGACCUCUAAGAUUAUCUAGUUUCAACCCCACUGCCCCGGGCAGGGCUCGCCAGCCACCAGACCAGGCUGCCCAGAGCCACAUCCAGCCUGGCCUUGAAUGCCUCCAGGGUGGGGCAUCCACAACCUCUGGGCAACCUGCUUCAGUGGGUCACCAUCCUUUGAGUAUCCAUAAAAAUAAAAGCACAUUGCUCUAGCUCUUCACAUAAGAUACUUCAGUACUGUAUGCAACAGUUGUCUGAAAGAACUGUUGACUUCAGCCUCUUCAGACUUCUUCUCUAAUGCACAGCCCGUACAGUGACCCACACUUUUGUAUCAUCACAGAUCAGCACGCUGACUGUCAAACACAUCAUUAAUCUGGAAAUUAUUCUGCCUUAGCCUGGCUGAUUGGAUUUUGCAUGAGGCUGUAAGGUGGAGUAAGUCAAGGAAUAAAACUUUCCAAGGUUGGAAAGACCACUAAGAUCAUCUACUCCAAACAUCAACCAUGGUGGUCAUGUCAUUCAAUGCCACAUCUCCAUGUUUCUUGAGCAUCUUCUCACAGUGCAGCUGCUUUGUUUUUCCCACCUUCCCACUGCUGCCCUUACAGACAUGCUUGUUAUCAACUUAUUGUCACAGUAAGUCCACUCUGAUUUUAGGGACAACAUGUAAGUACUCAGGCUACAGCAAGUAAGGACUUGCUUGAAUGCAACACCUGGGAGCAUAGAAACAAAGAAAAUAAAUUUCUUACCUUUGGAAGGCCUCAGGUAGGUGAGAAUCUCCAGUAAUAUACCCUCACCACCACUGCCAGCCUUUAAAUGAGAUCUGGGAAGGGGUGGAGGUGGCUCUUGGCUCUGUCCCUUCUAGUCACUCAGGUGCUUUGCAUGCACCUGAGCUCUCCUGGCUUGGCCCUGCCUUCCCACCAGGUGCUCAAUCACUGGUUCAAGCUGUGACAGCAUUUCUGCUGUACUAUCGCAUAUAGCAAAUACCCUUGCCAAGCUAUAGCAAAGCAUUGCAAUAUUUUUACUCCCAGGAUUUUUUUUCUCUCUGCUAAAUAUCUCACCCCUUUCAUCCAUAACAAUUUUCAAAGUUACGUAGUUAUGCAGAAGUUUCACAGGUCUUGAGUACCUACAACCUCAGUUUAUUUAACUGGGAUGAACACUGGUGGUGCUCAGUACUUUGAAAGAUCACCUUUAGAGAAAAGAAGGAAUAUGCCUUCUUUCUCACGGAUUUAAAGCACAGGCUCUUCUUAAUGCAUGCAUAAAUUUGAGAUAAAUUAUUACACCUUCAAUUUAGGCUGUCUUCCGUUUUUCCUUCCAUAGGCCUAGUUUUAGCCACACAGGUUUGAAAAUAUUAGCCUUAACUAUAACCUACACCCCCAAUGGAUUGAUUUUUGACAAUAAAGUGAUUUUUUUUCCUCUUAGAAAGUUCACAGUUGUCAGCCCAUUUUUGGGGGUAAAAAAAAAAAAAGGCCUUUCUAUCUCUGGAAAUAAUUUCAAUGGAAUUUUUUUCUGCUAAGCAAAUCAUUUAUAAAAGGUAAUAAAGAAUGAAAGGCGUGCCUCUAUGUAAACACAGGCAAGCUAUAUACAUUCACUUAACUUUGGAGUUUAUUUCAUAGUACAUAGUCUUUGAUGCAUAAAACCCUUAUUAAUUUGUUUGAUAAACAAAGGAACAGUGUAUUCAUUUUUAUUGGUCACACUGAUUUUUCUCCAUGGUCCCCAGAUUACCAUCUGAGGUCUGAAAGCUAAAGAGAAGAGACUAUUUGGGGUAUGUUACCUAAAUAGAAACAAUCAGAAUGAAAAAAAUAUCUUAAGUCGCCAAAUUCAGUAUCAUAACAAUAUAAUCUGAUUUGGGUUAAAAUCUAAGGAAAAGAAAUAUUAAACCUCCCCUCAAGACUACUGAUAGUGAGAUGAUGAGCACUUAGCAAAAAUGAGCAAAAGAGAAACCCUAGAUAAGAAAACUGCAGUGAGUUUUAUAAGUAGCAGUAAACCAUGUCUAGACCCAUGAUGCAUGAUUCAGACAUGUUCACUGAACUCCUAUGCCUUCACUGGGUGAUUUUACUCUUUUCUCUGGCUCAGGCCUCUGACUGAAGCAAAUCAAAACUAUGCACUUGCUUUAAAGAAAAAUGUGGUUCUUACAUAAAAGUCAGAGUAGGGUGGUGUGAACUGUCACGCAGUGCUUGCACACACUGCUUUUGCCAAGAGAUUAUAAGUUCAUAGUAACAGCCAGUGCCUUUACAGUUUUCCUGGGGCUUAGUGAGGCAAGUCACAGCUGCAUUAAAAAUUAAAUGGAAAGAACAUUUGCAACUUGUAGUCAAACACAAUGAGCAAUAAUGGGCUUGCCAAGUCUUUGAGGACAUAAAUCUUUCCAUCUGAGGCAGCUGAAGGACUUUGUAACCGUAUGAUUAGAGCCUGUGUUUUGGUUGGAUUGGAAUGCAGUUAAGGAUGUUGUGGGUUCAUGUCCACUUGCUGUAGGUGGUAAAAACCAGAAGGAGCUGGAUCCUAUACAGCUCAGAAGCUCUUCUGCUAACCACAGAAUGGCUACCAGGCUUCUACACCAUUAGACAAGAAAGAAAAGGAGACACAGCUGAUAGCUGGGGGCUCAAACAAAAUGGCAGCAAAGUGACCCAGAGGCCACCAGUCUGUGGACUAAUAGACCACUGAUGCAUACAAGGUGUGAACACAGAGCACAAUGGUGAGAGAUAUCAGUUGGAAAGUACAGUAGGUGCUGCUGUCCUACAUAAAAAAAACAGAACUGGAACUAAGGAGGCAUUUCCAGUGUGCAAGAGGAGGCAAAGGCACUGGGGACUUUCGGCUUAGAUUCAGCAAGAUGCGUCUUAUACUUCAUGUAGAACUUUGACUUCAGUAAGACAACCUCCGUGCUUCACACUGGACAUAUAAGGACCUCUCUGCAGGCACUGGAGCUACAGUUGUACAAACUCAGAAUUUCAGUAUGAAGGCCAGAGGAAAGGUGAGGUUACAGGAGGACAUGAAGCCAAAGGAGGUCGUGGAAUGAGUCAUUCUCCGUCUCAGGUAUGUGCAGCUACCAUUUCCUGGUUCCCAUUAUGAGACAACACUUAUCUUAGUACAUUAUUCCCAGGUUUCUAAGAUUUUAUUUUAAAAACUGGAGCACAGGCUUUGGAUCACGACAGGCUACGAGUCAUGCUCUCAGAGGCAAAGACUCACACAAGCUGGUGAGCUCACUGUGCACAUCCUCCGCCUCCAUUCCUUCUCCUUGCUAUUAAUACGAGUGUGACACAACACAAUGUUAAAUGAGAUCAGAGUAACAACAACCAUGGGAGGUCAAUAAAUUUGAAUAGUAUAUAAUCAAAUCUGUGCCUUGAGCAGGUAGAUUCUCGCUUUAUGAGAUCGUGGGAGUUAACUUUCAUUUAGCAGAAAUAAGUAUUCAGCCAACUGAGGCCCUUCUUUUUUACAUACAGAUAGGCUCCUCCGUUCAUCUGCAUUCUAUAAAGCCGUGUUAUUCUUCUGUGUUUAUCAGAUCUGUGAUAGCGGGGAGAACAGAAAACGUGUGUGAUAUCCGCCAGCUGGAUUCCAUCUGUCUUUUCUCUGCGGAGAUGGAGUUUCAAAGGCUACAUCCUAUCUGCUGUCACACCCUCUCCCGACAUGAGAAGCUAAGUGUAAAGUUUGGCCAAAGUGAUGGAAAAAACAAUAUCUCUUUUGUACAUCACAACUAUUUCCCUACCUACACAAAAGUGGCAUUCUUCUUGUUCUGGCAUGCAUGAUGUACUGUUGCACUGUAUCACAACUUUCCUAUUAAAUAAAAGGAGCCUGGCCAAAGGGAUUUCAGAGAAAGUAAGCUUUUUUUAGUUUGUUUGUUCAUUUUUAAGACUGUGGAUCUGUGUGAG
ensembl:lncRNA